AGGGAUCUUGCAACAUUUUUUUUAAAAAAAAAUCAUAAAACAAGCCCUGCACAGCUGCAUCCAGUCACUGGGUCUAAGGACAAUGGAUGUUGGUCAGUUGGGGCUGAAGAGUGAGUUGUGAUGAAGAAAAAAAAUCAACAUAAUUAAGAAAACAAUGAAUAAUGAAAAUACAAGGCAGAAAGCCUCUCAAAUUACAGUACCACCAGCUAGGCGUGUGAUCUGUGUCUUCAUCAAAAGCCUCUCGGGAGAAGGCAGAGAAGGAUCUUCUCAGUGCCUGAGUCUGAGAUCAUCUUCAGCAGGAUGAUGAAUUUAUGUGUCUACAUCAUGGAAGGAAAGGAGAAAAUGUUUAGAACAACAAAUAAAUAAUUUUAAAUAAGUAUAAUUAAGAAGAAAAUAAUUUUUGUAUCAUUAAUAAUGACAAAACAAUGUUUAAAAAGGACUAAAAUACUAGAUAAGAUGUAUUAAUAUUAUUAUAAAUGCAAUAUUCACAAGUGAUGUGGAUUUGGGUACAGUGCAAUUCCAUGUGUCAAUAUUUGUCAUCCAUUUAUCUUAAUGAUAAACUAAAUCUAAAAAUUUCUACAGAACCAUACAGACACAUAUAUAAAUACAAAAUUAUUUGACAUAAGUUGAAGGCUCUAAUAUGUCACUUAGUAAUUAUCAUUUAAAUCAUCUUAAAAAUGCCAAAAGUUAUACUAGGCAAAAUGUUUCUUAAAAGUUCUAGGACAAGUGUGUAUGUGUAUGUGAACAAGUAAUGAAAGGAACCCAUGGACUUCCUGCCACCACACAAGGGUCAGAGAGAGACUGCUGUGCCUGCUUCCUGACCCUCUAAUGUUAUGAUGCAGUCUGAGAAAGGAAGGAAGAUUGUGUGAUGGUUGGACAUUUAUAGCUUCUUGGUGGACCUAUUCUACAAACUUCCAGACCACAAUGAGUGCUGAUUACUUAGGAGCCUGCCCAAGAAUGCUGACUGAGUGUUUGGACCUUCAUCCCUAGUAUGUCUUGGGACACAGAACUCAUUUUACCAGUAAGAGGUUCAAUCUCCUCUUUCUGUAUUGAAUUUUCCAACUAUUCAAGCACGGGUCUAGCAGCACCUGUGAGGUGUCUGGUGGAAUCUGAGUCACUGCUCCCCUUAAAAAAUUUUCUUUAGUGCCAUAAGGUCUCCAUGGAGAAUUUAGAUAAGCUCUUAGCCACUAACUAUUUCCUAUCAAUCUCUGAAAAUCAUUCGGAGUCUGUAAACUAUCCUUCCUCAUUGCCAGUUCCUGAGACUUAAUAUUUUUAGGAUAUAACAUACAUCCUAAAUACUGGAAUGGUGGUUGUUUUUGUAUUUUCUCUGGGUCAAUAACUAACUCUGCUUGGAUAAGACUCUACUGGAGUUGUCCAUAUCUCUCAAGCAAAACUCCUUUAUUUUAAGGACAAGCAAGACAUCAUCCAUAUAAAUAAUAAUAUAACCUUGUGAAAAUUGAUCUAUGACAUUUCAUAUAGCCUGAGCCACUGGUUCAGGUAUAACAUAAUUGCUGGCAUAAUGUAACAAUGUUUGCCAUAUCUUGAAGCAAGAUGAUCCAAUGAAAUCUUCUCAUUGGUUCUUUGAAAUUGACUGAUGGAAUACUAAAUGCAAAUCUUUGACAAUCUGGUGUUGUCAACGGGUUAGUAUAAAAAAGUAUCCUUUAAAUCUAAAUUAAUCUUAUAGGUGUCUUUUGGUAUGGAUGUAGGAGAAGACAACAAAGGCUGUAACACUCCUAUUAGCUGCAUGGUCUCAUUAAUCUCUCUUAAAUCUUGUAUUUAUCUCCACAUUCCUAAUUUCUUGUUAAUCACAAAAAUAGAAGAAUUCCAUGGUUAAUUAGAGGGUAUAAUGUGACCAUUGUCCAGUUGUUCCUGCACUAACUGCUGGGAAGCUUUUAAUUUUUCUUUUUUUAGAGGCCACUGAUUUACCCAUACAGUCUCGUCCCUUUUAAAAAAAUUGAGUCUGCAUGGAGUGCAGGAUUUUCAAAAUGCCAUGUAGUGGCUGAAAAAAAAAGGACGCUGGAAAUUAUUGAUAGGCCACAGCCUUGUGAUAAUACAAAGAUUAGUAGAAAUGGGUUAUUUUAAGAUGUAAUAGCUAUAUAGGAAUACACUUGAGUCAUUAGCCAAGCACUGUUGUAAUUAAUAUGUUUUCUGUGUUAUUAUUUGGAUCUGGGUGAUGAGAAAAUGAAUGAGCAGUCUUUAUUUACAUCCAUGAACAAGUAUCAUUCUAUUCCCGAAAUAUCCACUGAAAUUAAUGAUGAAAAAUCAGUACUUCAUGAAUACAUAAGCUGGAAUAAAGCCUACUCUAUUACUACACAAAAGUAAAUAAAUUCUAAUGUACACUGGAAAAAUGAAACAGUACUGCAAAUUAUUUGGUAAAACUUAAAGACUGUGUUUCAUGCUACCUCAUUCAAUCUGUUUGGUUUACUCUUAGGAAUAGGGAAUACACAGAUUACCUGUUCUUUAUUCAAAACGGAAUAUGAGGCAUCCUGAUAAUCUUGAAUGGGUCUGACCUGACUCUGCUACUAACUUAACUCUUGGACUUGGAAACAGAAUAGUAGUUGGUAUUUUCUGAUAAACCUAAUUCAUGAAAAACAUAUGCUCUUAACAAUGAAUGUUGGUUAAAGCUAGAGAGGUUGCUCUAUAUCUUAUUCUCAAGGAGGAUGGCAGCAAAUGCACGUAUCUGACAAUAUGGUUUCUGAAACGUUCUGUACAUGGGACUCCUGGGGCGCUAUCCAGUGUUAUAGCAAUUCAGGCAUUCCAUGCUUAUCAAUAAGACCUAACUCCAAUCUAAUUGUGAGAGAAUCACUGUAUCCUUUAGGCCCCUGAUAACAGAAAAGGGCAGGUUUGGAUUUAUAUGUAGUUUUGAAUAUAUUAUUGGUCCCUUUGAUGCUAUUUCCCUCUGUGACGCGGGUGACAGUAUGUGUGCUUAUGUAUUGCUUGCUUAAUCAGAAGCAAAAAUUCAUAAUAUUAUCUUUAUAAUAUGAGAUGAAGUACCCAUAUAAAUGAAGAAAUAUAAGUGAACACAAUUAUCUGAUUGUUAUCAAACUCUAGUAAAACUUAAAACUAAGUAAACACACUCAUUUCUCUUGUUGUGAAUGAUGUCUUGAUUACCCUAGAGGCAAGAUGGGACUUCUAAAUUCUAAAUAUGAAAAGCAGAAGCACCCAAAACUUAUUGAACGGAACACAGAAGUGAGAAAGUUGGUCUGGCUCUUAUAUCUAUCACAUCACAUUUAAGAACAUAAAACCAAUCAAGUUUCUCAUUCAAAAUAGGAAUAUUGUAUGGAGAAAAUUACACCAUUAUACCAAGUGAGGAGGUUUUAGGGAUAACCUUUGAGUUUGAGGUAUACUUCAUAGGCUUCAUAAAAUGUACUAUGACAUCUUAUGUUCUACAAAGAAAGGGGUGUGAACAAUAUGUGCAGCAUAAUCUGGCAGUCCUUUCCAGUGUCUUAAUCUGUGUUUUUUCCAACUCAAACAAGAAAUGAUCAUCCUUCUUUGGCAAUUUUACAUUACUAAAUGUGCAUGGUCUAUAUUUAUUCACAUACUAUAGAUUUUCCCAUUUGUAUGGAACAAGUUCUAACAUGUUAAUUGCUUAAAUCUGUUAUAAUGUUGGUGUUUUCCUGCUCAUGCACUUUAUUAGUAACCAGUGAUAAAAUAAAGGUGUGAUGUGGAAGGAGCAAAGAGAAAAGGGGUUCUAUGGGAAGGAGUUAUGUUCCUGAUCAGGAAAAUCACUGAGCUGGAUUAGGUAUGAUGGAUAAUCGUGUGGGCUACACUAGUUUUCCGUUUGAACAUAUUCAGCAUCUCUGGAAUAUUAUAUAUGUAUAUCUGAAAGGUGAUGCCACUAAAUAAAAUCUACUUUAAAUAUA